rnacentral:rRNA from 1 species
AACGAACGCUGGCGGCAUGCCUAACACAUGCAAGUCGAACGAGACCUUCGGGUCUAGUGGCGCACGGGUGCGUAACGCGUGGGAACCUGCCCUUAGGUUCGGCAUAACUCCCCGAAAGGGGUGCUAAUACCGGAUAAUGUCUUCGGACCAAAGAUUUAUCGCCUUUGGAUGGGCCCGCGUUGGAUUAGCUAGUUGGUAGGGUAAAAGCCUACCAAGGCGACGAUCCAUAGCUGGUUUGAGAGGAUGAUCAGCCACACUGGGACUGAGACACGGCCCAGACUCCUACGGGAGGCAGCAGUGGGGAAUAUUGGACAAUGGGCGAAAGCCUGAUCCAGCAAUGCCGCGUGAGUGAUGAAGGCCUUAGGGUUGUAAAGCUCUUUUACCCGGGAUGAUAAUGACAGUACCGGGAGAAUAAGCUCCGGCUAACUCCGUG